rnacentral:rRNA from 1 species
CGGGUGGCAGCAGUCGAGAAUAAUUCACAAUGGGGGCAACCCUGAUGGUGCAACGCCGCGUGGAGGAUGACGGUCUUCGGAUUGUAAACUCCUGUCAUCCGGGAGUAAGACCUGGCUGUUAAUAGCAGA